CUUUCUGCCUUGGGGUGAAGAGGCAUUUGGGGGAAUUGCCAUCUUGGGAGGAAAAGCAGUAUCCUUUCACUUUCAGACUGAAAGGCUCCUGGGGAACUUGCUUCACUCCGGCGCUUUCUGUCCCAUGCUGAAGGCUGGAGUCGCCAGCCCCUUCCCCUUUGCCUUUCUCAGGCCCCAGUCCCUGAGGUGUGUGUGAGGACUGAACUUUAAUCCGGAACAAUCUGGUUUCU
rnacentral:lncRNA from 1 species